rnacentral:rRNA from 1 species
UACGUAGGGUGCGAGCGUUGUCCGGAAUUAUUGGGCGUAAAGAGCUCGUAGGCGGUUUGUCGCGUCGACUGUGAAAACCUACAGCUUAACUGUGGGCUUGCAGUCGAUACGGGCAGACUUGAGUUCGGUAGGGGAGACUGGAAUUCCUGGUGUAGCGGUGAAAUGCGCAGAUAUCAGGAGGAACACCGGUGGCGAAGGCGGGUCUCUGGGCCGAUACUGACGCUGAGGAGCGAAAGCGUGGGGAGCGGACAGG